CCAGUUCUCAAAACAGGCCUGAACCGGUUCCAUCUUCAGCUUUCUGGAGGGUGGGGGCUUUUUGGCAUUUGCCCUGGUUUGUGCAGGGUAAUUUGAACACUUUCAGCCCAGAGGCUGAGAGCAGCUGCCUUAUACCUAAGAGUCUUACUCUGAUGCCAGUGUCCAGACGGGUGAGAAGUCCAUAUUUAACCCCCUUGAGGCUGGCGGCUCAGAUGGGUGCAAACACUGCCUGCCAAGUUACUCCUUAGGGCUGCCCAACAUGCUCAGCUCAGCGGCUAACUCCCUUCUGCCUGCAGAGAUCAGACUGCAGAAGUGACAUCCAUGGUGGAUUUCUCUUCCUGCCCCCAGCUGUGACCUUCCCUGGUGUCAAUAUACCUGCCCCAGCCAAGUGAGGGUCUGAGCUCAACACAGCUCAUGAAUGACUUGAUGAGUGUAAAAGCUGUGUGAACUCUCAGGGAUUGUUCUAUCCUCAUCCUCCUGUGGGAGCAGCAGUGAAAGACCCCCAGGGUGUUUGUGUUCAGAAGGGAGGCCCCAGGAAGGGGGCUGUGUGACUUUGACGGGGUGAAAAAGGAGGUCUGUUGUACAAAGUUUCUGCUGAGAUUGCAAAUGUCCAUAACAAGUUAUGAAAUCCUUCUGUGGCUAAGAUCCUGUGACUUCGUCAUUGUCAUCCUUGAUUCCUCCCCUGGGUCAUGAAAGAGCAGCUGACAGGUUGUGCAGAGGAAAGGCAAGGAUCAUUUUAGUGAGCCCGUUACAAGGGACAUGGCCAACAGAAGGAGCUGCCUUUGAACUUUGACACCACAGAGGAGGCAGAAGGCUGGAAGGUUUGGACUAUACUUGUUCCAAGAUCCCAAUGGGGCCCUGAGCAUGGGCCUUCAUAGGACCCUUCUUCCUGAGGGACAUUCACCACACUAGGCCAUCAGCUGCACUGCAAAUGUCCUACCUGGGGCCUGCUUCCAUGACUCUGAUUUGCCCCAGCAGAAGAAGUGCUUGAAUCUUUAUUUUAGCUUGGAUGUGAAGUCAGUCAAAGGGAUUUCCAGGAAGUGGACAUAUCUGUGAAGAAUAUCAAGAGUUUCACCAGUCCUUGAGUCUCUGGUUAUUCCUGGAGAAUAACUACAUAACAGCCAAGGCCAUGAAGUGUGCUGAAGGUCAUUGCUUGGUGAACGAAGGCCUCCAAACCAUUCUCUUUCAGUUUUUGAAAAUAUACUUUCUACAUCUGCAAUUCAUUUGAAAUCAUGUAUACAGUGGCCAGUGAUGCUAUAAAACUCUCACAUGAGACUUUAGAGAGUCAAUGGUGUGGUAAUCUGAGAAAAGCUAAGAAGUGUUCCUUCUCUACACACUGAAGCUUACCAAUUGGCAGUUUGGUGAGCUUGUUAUGGUUAAGAGCUUUGGCUCACAAUCCAGUUGUCUUCAUUUAUUCACUUUCUUACCUGUUUAUUCAGCAUUAAUUGAAUAGUCACAAUUACGUGAAGAUCUAGGGCUCCUUCAGCAGACCUCAGCCAUUGCCUGAGUACUUUCCAAAUGUGUAGUAUAGAUACUGCAGCAAAUAAAACAAACCAAGUCCAUGCUCACAUGAACCUUCCUAUUAGGGGGGAAAUACAAGAAAUAGUGGAGAAAUGAAAAGGUGACAUGGAGUCCAGGAGUGGUGGUGCUAUGAAGAAGAAUAAAGAAGUAUCAGCAGAGAGGGAGGCCUCUCUGAGGACUUGACCAUUGAGAAGAGACACAAAAUAUGCAUAUGUAGGAUUAGUGUCCCUGGUGGAGGGAACAGCAAAUUCUAAGGUCAUUAAAAAUGCAAGGAGCUUGCCACGUCCAUGAUUACCUGGGGGGCCCCUGGGUUGCAGUAUACAGUAGUGUGCACAAUGGGAGAGUGUUAGGAAAGGAAGGCUUACAAAUAAUCAUGGACCAGUGAUGUAGAAUACUGGAGGGCCUGGUAAUUUCUUGAGAAGUUAUUCUAAUUAUGAUGAAACCAUUGAAGGGAGGCUUUGGAAGGAGUUUGGCAGAUAGAUGAUCAAGGAGUCUGACUAGAUAAGCCUAAAGAACCUAACGUGCCUAUUUAGUUGUUCAGUGAGAGAAGGCACAGGAUUGGUUGAGUGAGAAACAGAGGGUGUGAAAAGAGCCUGGACUCCAGAUGUAUUUUGAAUAUAGUCCUGCCAAGGUUUGUUGACCUGCUGGGGGAAGAUAAGGGAGGGGAAUCAUAUGCUGGAUUUGUCCUGAGCAUCUGAAUGAAGAGAAGUGCCUAUCAAGGAGUUAGGGAAGGCUCUAGGAGAGUAGCCCUGAUGCUAAGGGUGAAGCAGGGGUGUCAAGAAUCAGGAGCUCAGAAAUGGAACUAUGAGACUUGAGGUGUCUGUUUGAAUUCGGAAAGGAGAUGCUGUGUGUGAUGAGGGAGCAGGAGGCUGGCUGAGGACAAAGCAAAAACUGGCACCUUGCACCCCCUCUCCACCUGCUCCCCUCAGUAAUGUGUGUGACACUCCUCAGGCACCCCUGACUGCCAUAAGCAAGAAACAAAUAGUUAACUUGCAGAAAUCACAAUCCUGCAGGACAGGAGUUUCCCUUGGUUUACCAAUGUCCUGGAGAUUUACAACAAAGAAGCUAUCUUAACAAUAUCACAAUUUCCAGAGGCAAAUAACUCAGUUCCUCAAGCCCUAAAUAAAGUUAAAUUUCUUCUAAACCCAAAUCUCACUAACAAAGAUGCUUGAUAGCAGAAAUGUGAAUGGCUUGCCAAAAGACAACAUUGAUCAAGCAGCAAGACCUCCAGUAUCCCUGCACCUUGUAGGCCCUCUUUAGCAUAUGAAAGCUUGGUUGAAACCUCCCUUUUCCCUCACCUUCCCCCAGCCGCAGGGUACAUAACCUGCAAUCCCUCACAACCCCGGGCCGCAGCUCUUUCUGCCCACGGGUCCUGUCCCCGUGCUUUAAUAAACCACCAUUUUGCACCAAA